CAGGAGCAGGCUGAUGCCAGCCAGGCAUUGCGGGCAGAGCUGUCCCAGGAGCAGGCCAGGCAGCAGUAGCUGCAGAAGAGGAACCAGGGGGCCAGGGAGAGAGAGGGUCGACUGGAGUCAGAGAGAAACCAGCUCAGAACCAGCAUGGAAGCAGCUCACAGCCAGCUGAGGGAGCGGGAGAGGACUGUGGGGUGCCUGCAGGAGCGUGUGGUAGAGCUGCAGAGCACCACCCAGAGGCUGCAGGAGGAACAGACAGCCUGCCAGGCUCAGCUGCAGCAGUGAAGGAGGGAGCUGGAGAGCAGGGAGGGCCAGAGACACAGCCAAGAGAUGAGCGUCUUUCAGGAGACAGUGUGCAGGCUGAGGGAGUGUGUAGAGGAGGCCCAGGCCAGCAGCAGGCAGGGGACCAGGGACACAGCAGCAGCACAACACAGCCUCAGAGAGCUGAGACUGGAGCUGGCCUCCACCCAGGCUUCCCAUAGAGAGAGCAUGGAGCUGCUGGCUGAGCAGAGUGGUGAGGCUGCAGGUCUACGUAGUGAACUGUCCCGCCUGCAGCAGAGGAGCUCCCAGCUGUCAGAGGAGAGAGGGGGCCAGGAGGAGAGGACCAGGCAGCUGGCUGCAGAGCUCCACAGACUACGCACUGCCAGCAGACACUGGACGAGACUCGGUCCUGUGAGGGCAGGCUGGCGGAGCUGAGUGCCCAGCUGGGGAGGUCUCGGUGCUGGGGCCGGGAGAAGCUGGUAGCCCUGGAGAAGGAGGUGGUGCUGAUUAAGGUGGAGAUGGCUUCUCUCAGGGAGAACUAGCAUGCCAAGGUGGCCCAGGUGGAGGCCUUACACUCACAGCACGAUUCCAUGGAGCACAAGUACAGCACAGCAGCUAAUGAGUCUCUGGGUAAUGCUCGUUCAGACAGUUCUCUUCUACACAGGGAGAGUGAGCUGGUGAUAACCACCGUCAACCAGUGGGUGAAGGAGCAGAAGCAAGGGUCUGCAGGAGGAGAUGAAGAGGCUGAAGGCUGAGCUGGAAGAGAGCAGGAUUGAAGCCGAGAGGUUCAGAGCCUCAAGUCAGUGUGAGCGGCCAGCGCAGUGCCCUGACCAGACCUCCCAUCCAGCUGCUCCACACAGACAUCUGUGAGCCUGUUUAUCCCGGAGGACUGAAACGGCACAAAAGGGCACACAUUAACGAUGCGACUGGAAUAUCUGAGGAGCCAGUUGUGUACACAAAGCUGGCAGACGCGGUCAACAAGAAGCUUAACAGGGAUUGGGACAUCGUGGAAGGUUUACCAAAAUAAGCAGACUGAAUUUGCAUUUGGUUAGAGGGCUGUUGACGAACAGAGCCAUCAACAUUUGGUCCAUCAGAUCUGCUCUGACUGCGACAGGAGCCUUGAGUGGCCAGAGAGACAACCUGUGGAGGAGGAGCUCUGGCUGUCAACCUGCAUCUGCGCUAGCCCCAGACUCAGCCUGUGUCUGCCUGGCAGGGAGGGGGGCCAUGUUUGCUGCUGAGGUGGCCCUUAGGACCCUGGAGCGCAGACCCCUGCCAUGUGGCCACCACCGCUGGAGCAGACCCGCUCUCUCAGCUGGGACAGGCCAUGCCCUACACAUCUCAGGGAGGGACACUGGUGGGGGCUAUUAUGAACCAGUGAGAAGGGAAGUACAGGUAGUUAUGACUCAAUAGAAUACAGCACACAAAUAUUUAUGAUUUUGUAGCUUGAUAGAUAUUAAUAAAUGAUUGUAUUAUAUUUAAGAUUAUUUAAUGACAAUACUAAACUUGAAUAAUUUAAUUUCUUUGGUAUUUUCAGUAUAUAUUUUUUCAAAAUCAAAUCUUUGUGGCACAAUAUUGUAAUCUCUUACCAUUACUCCUUCAGACCAGUUCUACAUUAUGAUUGUCUACUUAUUCACAACAGGUUCUGUUGAACACAGAUUCUGUGUUGUGAAUCAGUAGACAAUUACAAUCUUACCUCUACAGUAUCUGGGUCCUUCCACCAGUUCGGUGCCUUUUUAGAAGUGUAACUUGUGAUUUCACAAAAUGUUGACAUUCUGUCCUAAAGAGCACAUGUUCAACUUCAUAAAAAACACGUUGCCAUUCCAAUAGGUUACAUUUUUAAAAAUACUAUAGUUAGUGCCUAUUAAGUGCCAAAUAAAGUAUCAGGGUUGACGGUAUCAGGGUUGACGGUAUCAGGGUUGACGGUAUCAGGGUUGACGGUCAUUUUUAAAUCAGCCAUAAAUCCUCUCGUGACAGGGGGAAUGGAAGCUUGUUCGUUUUCUAUCACAAAACAGAAAAUGGCCCAACAAGUUUUUACACUAUGAUUUGACUAUUUGAUGUUCAAUGUUUCUUUUGAAAAAUACAUUUUAAAUUAAUAGUUUCACCAUAUUAAAACUAGAGGGUUGACCUUAAAAUGAGGGACAGAUGUGAAUGAAUCACUAAUCAAAUGAAAUAAAUAUAAUCUUCAGAACUGACGUAAAAUAACUAGGUAUGUACAAUGGAGAAAUGUUUGGAUUACAUGGGUUGAAGUCUUCCUAGAAGUGACACAGGGUUGGCAGAGGGACAUGUCAAAAUGAUGAAUUUAGCAAGCCUUUAUUCAUAUUAAAAAUCAGAUUAAUUGAAUUCUCCAUGCCGUCUAUAUUAAAGGGCACUUCAUUGAGUAGAACGGGCUUUUAAAAUUAAUAAUUUCUACUUAAUAUCAAAAGGCACUCUUCGUGGAACGACCCAUCUGACAAAUAUUUGUAUCUAUCCAUUCAGGGUUUUGAUUUACAUUUUUAUAGAAACCUAGAAAGAAUUAGAAAAAGUGUCCAGCCUUUUAUUGUGGUUUGAGAAAUAGUCCUGCUUAUUUCUGAGGUUGUCAAAUGAUUGAUUGAUGUCUAGAUCAAAGUACUAAAAAUGUAUUGGGGGGAGAUUUCAUGGUUUCAGUCACCUAGAGCAAUACAUCCUUGAUUUCAUGUAAAUCCUAAUGAAUUGUGUAGGCAGAGAAGUCUUUGUGGCCAAAUAAAAGUCUGGUAAAGGCAACUAAACCCAUAACAAGUGUCCCUUU